ACCCAGGAGACAGAAGUGGUGGGGACAAAGGGUCUCUGAGAGGACCCUGCUCAUGUUAAGGCUCAAAGUGGAGAUGUCUAGUAUGUUAUCAAUUACGUGAUGCUUAAAUAGUUUCAGUGGGUGGCACUGAAAAAUGCUAUGAAGCAGCAAGAUUUCAUGAGAAUUCUUGGUUGAAAAGAGUGACUCAGUCCCUCAGCAAACAUCACAUUAGAGGUGUCAUCUUCAAACUUAAAAUUAUUGCUCCUCAUAAUAACCAGACAGCUGCAAUUAAACUGAGAAAAGAAAAAAAACCAAAACCUAAUGCUCUGUAAUUGUAGUUACUGGCACAUGGACUAACUGGAACCAAAUAGAUCAGAAUCCUAAAAAACUUUUUGAAGGAACUGUAAUGACAAAGAUGACAAAGAAACCACAGCUCUACUUUAAAAAAAAAAAAAAAGGCUAGAGACUUGUCUGGCAGCCUUAGAACCACCUACCUGCAGGCAGAAAGCGGGUGGAGAAAAGAGUGCAUCCUCAAAGAUGGGCAUCCCCUCCCCCGAAACCCACAUCAGUUGAAGCCAAUGGUGAAGAGACACAAGACCACUGGAACCAGGAGCUCCACGGAACAAUAUAUUUAUAAAGCAGUUCCUCCUUAAGGUCAGAAUAAUGGCCUAAUUAAGGAAAAUGCCCAACUUGAAGGUAGGGGGUCUUCAUAAGGGCAUUCAGUGGCUCUCCAAGCUGCACUACUGAUUGCUACAGUUUCCUCAUUCUUUUCCUUUCUGAACAGGAGUAGUCUUACAGAUUCACCAUCAUACUGGGGUGAGGUAAGGAGGUAACGUCUUUCAAUUCACGGAUUAGUAGACAAUGAGGAGCUACACUGAAGCCUGACAAAAAGACUUGUGCUUCACCUGGAAAUCCUGGCCUUUCAGCCAUGUGUUGAUGACAGAAAGCCGCCUGGGUCCCUAGUGACUUUGUGGAGCAGAGUCCCACCCCCAACUCCACUGAGACACACAGAAUUAGGAUGGACACCAUGGCCAGACACACAUGGACAGCUGCAGGAACAAAGAAUUCCUGCAGCAAGAAGUUUGCACCUACCAACCACAACGCCACCUCUGGUUGUGUAUGUGUGUGUGUGUGUGUAAAAGGAGACUGUACUCUGACUGGAGCAGGAUGGUUCAAGACAUUAGUUGGCCAUCCUCUCGGUCUGCCAGCUUUCUGAAUAAAGUCGCUAU